GAAGGACUAUUUGGCACAUGAAAACUUCCUCAGUCCUUUCUCAAAUUUCCUACAGGUGUUCACUUUUGGCAAGAACUUCUCUAGCAAUCACUGCUAUCCUUUUUCUUUUACAAGUCUACCUCUUGUGAAGGAGACCAAGGGGGAAAGUAGAGGUGGCAUAAGCUGACCAUGCAAUGGGCUUCCACUGGAAGCAAAGAUCUUGGCGCAGGGAUGUUUUCCUUAGUUUUUCAGUCAUAAUUAAUAGGAAACAGGCCCCUAGAUUCUUGCUACUUCACACUAGGUGACCGGUAAAUAUUUGUGUUUCAUGAAUACCGAAUCGUGGCUAGAUUACAAGUCAAUUUAAUGCUCAUGAACAAUUUCCUUCUUGUUACGAACUUUUUCCCCCUCGUAAAAUUUGUCAGUGAGAUCGGACUCUAAAGCAAAGGAUUCUGAACUUUUCAUAAUAUGAAACAAGAAUAGGAAAGGAUUCUGUUUUGCAGAGGAACUUUUGGGCUUCUCUCCCAACAUUGGGAGCAAUUACAUUUCAUCCUUGAGAAAGCAUGAAAACAGUUCCAUUGAACUAUGGAAGCCUAUUUUGCCAAGUGCACAGGUUCCAUUCUGGGGUAAAUCACUGCUUACCCCUAGCUGCUUGUGAAAUAUGUAUGUGUAUACAAGUGAACGUGCACCCAUUGAGCACAGCAGAGCAGAGAAAAAGAAGCAAAAGA
rnacentral:lncRNA from 1 species